rnacentral:rRNA from 1 species
CCUACGGGAGGCAGCAGUGAGGAAUAUUGGUCAAUGGGCUUACGCCUGAACCAGCCAAGUCGCGUGAGGGAAGACUGCCCUAUGGGUUGUAAACCUCUUUUGUCAGGGAGCAACGCCGGCUACGUGUAGCCGGACUGAGAGUACCUGAAGAAAAAGCAUCGGCUAACUCCGUGCCAGCAGCCGCGGUAAUACGGAGGAUGCGAGCGUUAUCCGGAUUUAUUGGGUUUAAAGGGUGCGUAGGCGGAAUGCCAAGUCAGCGGUAAAAUCUCGGGGCUCAACCUCGCUCCGCCGUUGAAACUGGCGUUCUUGAGUACCGGAGAGGUCAUCGGAAUUCCUUGUGUAGCGGUGAAAUGCGUAGAUAUAAGGAAGAACACCAGUGGCGAAGGCGGAUGACUGGACGGCAACUGACGGUGAGGCGCGAAAGCGUGGGGAGCAAACAGGAUUAGAUACCCCGGUAGUC